CAAGAAGAUAAAAUACAUAAGUCUCGGCCGCUGAAAAUAUUAUGAGUCACCAAUUAGCGAUACACUACAAAAUAAUAUGAAAAGGUGCAGUAUGGUUAUAAUGAUCUGGUUAGUUUGUGAAAAACAUCGUUUGUUACAUCAAGAUGAAGUUUUAUGCCAUAUUAAUAAUCGUAUAUUGCACUGAUGUAAGCUCAAGAACGGCAUAUCCAGCAAAUAUCGGAAAUGGAAAUACAGCCGUCUCAAAUUUAUUGGAUGAAAAGAAUAUCGGGAAUUAUCUGCUAAAAAGGAACUUUACAGAUCCAAUCAUUAAAACUGGCUCCACUGUAGAUGCAGAUCGGAUUCACAAUCGUGUAAAGCGCCAGUUUGGAUAUGACCCAUAUUAUGAUCCGUAUUACCGUCGUCGGUUACCUUUACCCAUCGUACCAGGUGGACUUUUUGGUGCAGGCAUCGUAGUGGGACGCAGCUAUGGAAGUUUUGGACGGUUUGGAGGAAGGGGAUUUGGUGGUCGGGGUUUUGGUGGCCGCGGAGGAGGUUUCGGAGGCCGCGGAGGUUUCGGAGGCCGUGGUGGAGGUUUUGGAGGCCGUGGUGGAGGAUUUGGAGGUGGUCGUGGUGGACGUGGUUAAAUGAAAUAUUUGAAUUUUAAGUGAUUUUAUUUCUGUGAAUCUAUAAUAUCUUAUUGUAUUUAACGAUUAUUUUUGUAAUACAAAGUUUCAGGUCCAAAUCAUGUAUCAAGUAUGAGAAAUUUUUGUCUAACUUUACCAAUACUCAUGUGGUUUGUACAACUUUGAGCCUCUUACGUCUAAACCAUGCCAGCGCCAAAGAAUAUAUAGGUAAUAGAGCCAAUUUUUCUAGGUAAACUAAGAAUUAGGGACCAUUCUCUUUGUUAUUGUGGCCUUGAUUGAUGAUGGAAACUUAGAUCAUUUGUUCUCCAGUUGUACUUUUAUGCAUUCUUCUUUGUACAAGUAUAUACCCCCUGAAAUUCCCCGUCCGAAAAUAUAUUAAAACAAAUAGGAUUAUAUAGCACAUAUCAAUAAGUACAUAAUCUCUGGCACGAGACGAUGUCUGUGCCAGAGUUUGACGAGUCAACAUCUCCUGAGGAUGCCUCGUGAAGAGGCGAAAUACGUAUCGAAUUGUUUAAAGACAAGUACUGGCGGAAUUAACACUAAAGAAAACUCUAAACAUUUGAAUAAUAAUACAAAUGUAUUUUAAGUGCAAUAAACUGUUUUCAUUAAAUUAAAAAGUAGGUACCUACAAAUGAAAUGGCGAAAAACCCAAAUUGUUCAGUUAUAAGCUAAUAGUUAUACGAUUAAGUAAUUGUGGUUUGCAAAGUGAUGUCAAAGUGCCAUUAUUAAUACCUAUUUAAAUUGUGUAAAGUAUCUAUACCAAACGUUGUUUAUUUUGUUUAGAUAUCCGAGGUGUAAGAUAUAAAGGUGCGUACAAAUUACGCGCGGCAGUACCGCGAGCCCAUGUUCGAGCCAAGUUGACCUUCCUUUGCCGCGCGAGCCAAUAUUGAUAUAAAAUUAGUAGAACACAUUGCCGCGCGCAGCGAUCCAGCUUUAACAGCUCGCGGCAACUAGACAGACCAGUUCAUUCUUGUAAACCAAAUUAGCAAUAACUUUAAAAUUUCUGGCACCUCCUCCUUCCAUACUAGCCUGCAAUACCUUUUUCGAGUAUCAAAACAGUCUAUUUUAUUGUCAAUUGGCCAUUUUACGUAUUCGCUGCGGGCGCCAAUACUACUUAAGACCGUUUAUUGCGCACGAAUGACAGAAGCUCCUCUGAAGCGGUCUCAAAAACCGACAGCGACCCCGCGGCACGUUCGAGCGCGACAAUGUUCGCGUCGCGUUGCCACGCGCGAUAUGUACGCACCUUAAGCAUUACCCCUUGAUAAGUAAACGAUGCUGUGAAAGCAGCUAAAAUUUUUUUAUAGUUGAUUCUUCUACUUUAUAUUAUAAUAAUGAUUUUUGCCUUUUCCAUCUUGCUGUUUUUCCGUUCGAGAUGUUCUUCUCUCUCACACUCUUUGUUCGUCUAUACGCUUGGAUAUUGUAUGAACUAAGAACGUAAAACUAGCUAUAGUUUAUUCUUCUACUCUAUAUUUUUAUAUUGUUGUAUAUAAAUUAUGACGCUGUAGAUUACGUGAAAAUAAGUAAAGUAAAUAAAAUAUGCAAUAUUAUUUCACUAUGUAUUUACGAUCGAAUCUUUUUACUGUGUAUCUGUAUGUCUGCGUAAUUAUUCUGUACCUGUAACGUUAUUUGUACCACAACUGUAUCCACCUGUGUCGUUUAUCGUUUCUACAUCUACUUUACAAAAUUCUUACGACAGACUAGACCACGCAUGGCCGAAACAGUUGAGCCUAGAAACGUAAAAUGCUAGAAGUCUUUAUUUUAUUUUCCAGGGCUUUGCAGCUGAAUCUUAGCAAAGUCCGCAGAAGAUUCUUCAUUUAAUGCAAAGAAUCUAUUUGCCAUUCGACAAUCAUUGCAGAUUAUAAACAAAGUUAACUUCUGUAGAAGACAAUCCACCAUUGUAUUUUUGUGUUCUGCACAUAUGAGCUGGAUGGAAAAUAUGGCCAUAUCUUGAUAUCAUUGAGAAAGAUGGCCAUCUUUUUCUGUCUUUGAAAAAAAAAACAAAUAUAACAGCUAUAAAUAUUUUAUUUAACUUAAAACACUUUGUUUUGAAACAUUUUGAUAAUUAACGUAUCACUUUUUUAAUGGAUCUCUUCGACAAUAAAUUAUUUCUGUACUUUCUUCUGUUUUUCCUUCAAUUUCUGCGUGUACUUUUAAAAUGGCGGAUACUGUGUUGUUCAUAUUAUUUCUGCAGCAAACUGCCCUUAUUUUUACUCUCCCCGUUUACUCUCCAGCACUAAUUCACCACCUUUGUGAUCGAUUCAAAGACGUGCAGAACCGGGAGCCCAUUCUUCAAGUCUUCAGUAAACCUUAUUUGUGGGACCUAGGUCCAUAUACCAUACUAAGAACUAUAGACGUAGAAUAUACUAACUUAUAGACAACGUGACAGCCCUUUAAUAUGUUACUAAUUAUUUAUUUAGACUAUGUUGACAUCUAUUUGUAUAACAAAAAGCCAUAUACUACUUUUCACAUACAUGAUUCUAAUUAGUUUAAAAAAUAGAGUUUCGAGAUUUAACAUUAUAUUACAUUAGUUCUAAUUAUAGAUUUUUUUUUAGAAUUAGUGUUUAUUUUAAUAUAUAAUAACUACAUUUUUGUUAGUAUUUUACACGGGGUUCAAGAUACAGCAAGAAGUUUACAUUUACAAAAUAUAAUUACAGUUAAUUAGUUAUUAUUAAUAAUUAACUGUAAUUUAUUUUACAUUAUUAAGUUAGUAAUUUUAAUGAAAGAAUACUUCGAUACUUCAGGGAGAAAGUAUGAUCUGGUUAUCAGAGGGCCUACCAUCAAAUUUAAAUAAGCAAUGCGAUUCCGAUGCAGUUCAGUUUAGGUACCUAAAUUGAAUCGCUAAAAUUCGUACCAUGAAAUGCCUUUUGGAUCGCAUAUGAAGAAUGAACGAAAUAAAUUUAUCUGUGGUCCGCCGUGUGAGAAAGAGAUGACGCUCUACAGUCAUUGCAUAAGUUUGUCUCUCGUACUCGAACCAUAUGCGUUGCGUUUCGAAACCUAAAAUGAUAUGAUUUUAGCGGAUUUUUGCAUAGAAAAUAAUAAAAAUACAUUUUAAAAUUGCGCUUUAUAGCGUCAAAUUAUAAACCAUUAAGCCCUUUUUUGUACUUAUUAAAUAAUAGUAAUAUAAAUAAAUAUAGUUCUUUGAUUUACAAAUUAAAUGUAUGCUUAGGUGUUUUCGUAAAAAUAACGAGUUAUGAACGCACCAUUGAUGUUUGAUUUGACAGGAGCACAGAGUAUUUUUUUUUAAAUUCAUUAAUUCAAUUUUAAGUAUUCUCAUCUCAUCUUUCAUCAAUAAAAUUUUCCUUUUUUUUUAAUUUGACGUCAACCUAAAUGAGAUAGCUCUAAUCACGUCGUGGUACGAAAUAGCAAAGCAGUUCAUUUUAGGUUGUCAAUUGAAUCGCAGUAAGAGUUCAUGGUAGGCCCGUAAUUGCCAGAUUGCACUAGAUUUAGUUAAAAACAAGUCAAUUUGGGGGUAAGCAUUUGUAAGUUCAUUAAAUUUGACACUUGUACGGAUGAAGAAGGAAUUACGGCAAUAGAAUGAAUUAUAAAUUGGAACAUUAUUAUAUGAUUUAUAUAACGAUUUGCUAAAUAUGUGUGUUAGCUAGUUGUAUUAAACAAUUUGCUUUGUUUUAAAGUGAUAGCCCUAUCUUCUGGGAUUAAUUACACAAUACAAUACUGAAAACAAAAUUUUAUGAACAAUGCGGAACUAACCCGCGACCUCUCGCGUUCCGUGCGAGCGCUCUUUCCAACUGAACAAACCGUUCGAGUGACGUAUCGUUUUUACAAUCUUGUAUGCUUUGUUCAACUCUGAGGUUGUGGCUUCAUCUACGGGAUCUAUUUAUCAGUUGAUAACCUGCUCAACGCCAAUAAUUGCAUAUUAGGAUAUUGACUAUAUAUGUAUAUAGCAAUAUAUAUUUGCAAGAGCGACAUUAUGUCGCUCUUGCAAAUCUAAACGGUUGGCUGGAGGUCGUGGGUUCGAGUCCCGCAUCGAUCAUAAAAAAAAUAUUUUCACUUUUAUUGGUGGUUUUAUUCAAAAUUGUAAGAAGCUAAUGCCAAACGAGGCUCACUGUUUACAACUUGCCAAUCAAAAUCGGUUUUAUAGUAACAAUAAGAUUCGCUGUCCUUUUCUAUCUUGCUGUAUCUCCGUUAGAGAUGUUCGUCUCUCUCACACUCUCUGUUCAUCUAUAUCCUAGUAUAUUGUAAGUCUAAACUAAGAACGGUAAAACUUGCUAUAGUUUACAUGAAAAUAAGUACUUAAAUAAAAUAAGUAAUCUUUCGAA